AGUUUGAUCCUGGCUCAGGACGAACGCUGGCGGCAUGCCUAACACAUGCAAGUCGAACGGGGAUAGCAAUAUCCUAGUGGCGAACGGGUGAGUAACGCGUGAGUAACCUGCCUCAUACAACGGGAUACCUGAGGGAAACUUCAGUUAAUACGGUAUAAGACCACACUGCCGCAUGGCAGAGGGGUAAAAGGAGCAAUCCGGUAUGAGAUGGACUCGCGUCGCAUUAGCUAGUUGGUGAGGUAACGGCCCACCAAGGCGACGAUGCGUAGCCGACCUGAGAGGGUGAUCGGCCACAUUGGGACUGAGAUACGGCCCAGACUCCUACGGGAGGCAGCAGUGGGGAAUAUUGGGCAAUGGAGGAAACUCUGACCCAGCAAUGCCGCGUGAAUGAAGAAGGUCUUCGGAUUGUAAAGUUCUUUAGUCAGGGAAGAAAAAAAUGACGGUACCUGAAGAAUAAGCUCCGGCUAACUACGUGCCAGCAGCCGCGGUAAUACGUAGGGAGCAAGCGUUGUUCGGAAUGACUGGGCGUAAAGGGUGCGUAGGCGGUUAUACAAGUUAGAAGUGAAAUACCCAGGGCUUAACUCGGGUGCUGCUUCUAAAACUGUAAGACUUGAGUACAGUAGAGGUUAGUGGAAUUCCUAGUGUAGCGGUGGAAUGCGUAGAUAUUAGGAGGAACACCAGAG
rnacentral:rRNA from 1 species